UACGUAGGGGGCAAGCGUUGUCCGGAAUCAUUGGGCGUAAAGAGCGUGUAGGCGGCCAGAUAAGUCCGCUGUGAAAUCUCGAGGCUCAACUUCGAGCUGUCGGUGGAAACUGUCUGGCUAGAGUCCGGAAGAGGAGAAUGGAAUUCCUGGUGUAGCGGUGAAAUGCGCAGAUAUCAGGAGGAACACCGAUGGCGAAGGCAGGUCUCUGGGCCACUACUGACGCUGAGAAGCGAAAGCAUGGGGAGCGAACAGG
rnacentral:rRNA from 1 species